rnacentral:rRNA from 1 species
GUGCCAGCCGCCGCGGUAAUACGAAGGUGGCAAGCGUUGUUCGGAUUUACUGGGCGUAAAGGGAGCGUAGGCGGUCUGGUAAGCCCUCCGGGAAAUCUCCCGGCCUAACCGGGAAAGGUCGGAGGGGACUGCGAGACUAGAGGGCGGGAGAGGAGCGCGGAAUUCCCGGUGUAGCGGUGAAAUGCGUAGAGAUCGGGAGGAAGGCCGGUGGCGAAGGCGGCGCUCUGGAACGAUCCUGACGCUGAGGCUCGAAAGCGUGGGGAGCAAACAGGAUUAGAAACCCCAGUAGUCC